AGUUGGAUUCUGCUGCAAUUGCCAUCAUGAUGAAGAUCAGAAGGCAGAGCAGAAACAGGCUGCUUUCCCCUCUCAUAGCUGGUUUAAUGAGAUUAUAGCUUGUGCUGGCUACUCCUUUUUUUCUGUUACAGAUGGCUACAUCUUUCAUUGUAAUUUGUGGCACUAUCUGGUGGUUUGAAUGAGAUGUCUCCCACUCUCUUGAGUAUUUGAGUACUUUGGUCCUUAGUUUGUGGUGAUGACUGUGGAGGCUUUUGAAGUAUGGUCUUCUUAGAAAAGGCACGUCUUUGGCAGCAUUCUUUGAGAGUUUAAAGACUUGCUAUUUCUAGGAACUUGCUCUCUCUGCUCCCUGUUUGCAGUUCAAGAUGAGAGUCCUUAUCUUCUUGGUCCUGCCACCGUGUGUUUGCUCUGUCUUUAUGGAUUCUAGCCCUCUGGAAUGGACUGUAAAAAAUUCCCAGUGGGCCCGGAAACAAAACUACAUUAGUAUGUGUGAAAGCCAAAUGAUAGGUGGAUAUUCUGCAAUGCAGUCACUCUAGCUGGUUACCGGCCUUCUUUAUGGAAGAGGAAGAGGAAACUCAAGGGCACACAGAGAGGCAAGGGCAACGUCCUUCGAUUCACAUACAAGAUCUGAGACUCCUAAGCCCCUGCUCCUUAUGUCACUGGAUAAAUCCUGCUGGCCCAGCCAGGCAAUUGCCAAGAGCAUCUGGCUUCUCAUCAAUCACUGCAACCCAUGGCAGGAAGAAGCAGAAAUAAACCUACAGGCAGGGGUUCCUGGAAUUAAGAGCCGAAGUCAUCGGAAGAUCAAGCCUGUGUCUGUAUCCUGGCUCAGAUAUUUCUCACUCUCUUCCCACCACCUCUGUCCCUUAGCCUUACU